AGCACUAAGAUCCACCCUUUUUUUCUCUCUCUCCUCUCUCCUCUCUACUUUCAAAAACCCUAGCCUCCAUUGUUGAUUUUUAAAGGGGCUUCCAUCGGUUUUUACCGUUGGAAAGCCCCCACCUUUGCUUUUUUUAUUUGUUUUUAGGUUUCCAAUAACGAUUUCUCCCUCGAAAGACAGGGUUUUCGAUCUCCUUCUUAAGAAAAGGUUUUUCGACCUCCUUCGAAAGACAGGGUUUUUCUCCUCUUUUAGAGGGGGAAUUUCUAUAGGUUACAAUCCAGGAUACUAGAUCUAAUGGAUUGCCGUGAAAUUAUUUUGUUGGUGAAGAAUUAUGCGGGAUCACAAAGGUUAUCAAUUUUUCGAAUACGGUCAGAUGAAUCCGACGGAAAUCAUCCUCACGACUACAAGGGAUCGUUAGAUUGUCUCUCCAACAAGGCUGUAUUUUCCAGCGAUAUAAGCGGGAGAUGUUCCACAUUGCAAGAUUUGUUUGACGAUCGUAGUUUUUAUGAAGGAAAUUUUUGUUUGAUUCAACUUAUGUAUUUGUUUGAUUCGAUUGCUUAUGUAGAUGUCGUAUGACUUUUUAUUAAUGAAUUAAUUUUACUAUUCAAAAAAAUCUUCAUCCUCCUUUCUUCCUUCGUCCGGUUCUAGGCUCAAGAACCAAGAAAUUCAUCCUCCCUCCUUCUUCUUCUGAUUCAUGGCACAUCAACCAAAAACCUCCAACAGCUCCCUCCUCCUCUUUCAUCCAGUUCAAGCACACACACCAAGAAAUUUUCGACAGCUAAACUAUCACCAUUCAGCAUUUGAACCGAAAAUUCCCCCCUAUAAAUACUGAUUCAUUCACACUAAAUUUCCCAAGCAAACUAACCCACAAAGACUGCGAUUUCGUAGACGAGGAAUACCAGGAGCGCUAACACGUUCGUGAACUGAACUUUUGGGCACACGUCACGAGAUUAUGGAUACGAAUGACAAAAUGGACAACGACUAUGGAUUCUGAUUAUGAAUUAUGAAUAACGACGAUGGACGAUGUACGAUAUGACAACAAUUAAAAUCGG